rnacentral:tRNA from 1 species
GCACCCGUAGUUCAACGGAUAGAACGGCGGUUUCCGGAACCGCAGGUCGUGGUUCGAUUCCACGCGGGUGUACCA